UACGUAGGGUGCGAGCGUUGUCCGGAAUUAUUGGGCGUAAAGAGCUCGUAGGCGGUUUGUCGCGUCGGCCGUGAAAUCUCCACGCUUAACGUGGAGCGUGCGGUCGAUACGGGCAGACUUGAGUUCGGUAGGGGAGACUGGAAUUCCUGGUGUAGCGGUGAAAUGCGCAGAUAUCAGGAGGAACACCGGUGGCGAAGGCGGGGUCUCUGGGGCAGUAACUGACGCU
rnacentral:rRNA from 1 species